rnacentral:rRNA from 1 species
GAUGAACGCUGGCGGCGUGCCUAAUACAUGCGAGUCGAGCGAACAGACGAGGAGCUUGCUCCUCUGACGUUAGCGGCGGACGGGUGAGUAACACGUGGAUAACCUACCUAUAAGACUGGGAUAACUUCGGGAAACCGGAGCUAAUACCGGAUAAUAUAUUGAACCGCAAGGUUCAAGAGUGAAAGACGGUUUUGGGGUGAGUAAAAGAUGGACCCGGGCCGCAUUAGCAAGUGGGUAAGGUAACUGCUUAGCAAGGCGACGAUGCGUAGCCGACCUCAGCGCGUGAUCGCCCACACGGGCACUGAGACACGUCCCCGACUCCUACGGGAGGCAGCAGUAGGGAAUCUUCCGCAAUGGGCGAAAGCCUGACGGAGCACCGCCGCCUGAGUGAUGAUGCUCUUCGGAUCGUUAAACUCUGUUAUUCGGGAAGAACAAAUGUGUAAGUAACUAUGCACGUCUUGACGGUACCUAAUCAGAAAGCCACGGCUAACUACGUG